rnacentral:rRNA from 1 species
CAGUAGCCGCGGUAAAACAGAGGGUGCGAGCGUUAAUCGGAAUUACUGGGCGUAAAGCGCACGCAGGCGGUCUGUCAAGUCAGAUGUGAAAUCCCCGGGCUUAACCUGGGAACUGCAUUUGAAACUGGCAGGCUAGAGUCUUGUAGAGGGGGGUAGAAUUCCAGGUGUAGCGGUGAAAUGCGUAGAGAUCUGGAGGAAUACCGGUGGCGAAGGCGGCCCCCUGGACAAAGACUGACGCUCAGGUGCGAAAGCGUGGGGAGCAAACAGGAUUAGAUACCCCGGUAGUCCCUGUCUCUUAUAC